AUGGAAAAGGUGCCAUUCACGAAAAGAGCUCUGAAAUUUUUGUGUGAAAAAAUCAGCAGAGAGCAAGCAGAGAAUGAUGUGAGGAAAACAAUGGAGGUUUUUGCAGGUCUGGGUUCAACGGACCCACACUUCACUUACCGUGUGCAGGCAGACAAGGAUGGUCGGAUAACAACUCUGAUGUGGGCAAAUGGGAGCAUUAGAUUGCAGUACACCUUCUUUGGAGAUGUUUUUACCUUCGAUACAACAUACAGAACAAAUCUGUACAACAUGCCGUUUGGUCUGUUUGUAGGAGUGAAUAAUCAUUUCCAGAGCAUCAUCUUGGCUGGGAUUUUGGUCCGUGAUGAAAAAGUGGAGACUUUUGAGUGGGUUUCCACAGAAUGCGUUAGGAUGAUGGCUGGAAGUGCACCAAAGACAAUUCUAACAGAUCAAAACCGUGCGAUGGAGGUUGCCAUAAAAAAUGUGAUGCCUCAAACAGCACACCGAUGGUGUAAGUGGCACGUGCUGAAAAAGGCGAAGGAAUCACUCGGUUCAUUGUACACCAAGAAGAGCGAGUUCACGGCACAGUUCCACAAGGUAGUAAAUCACAUGCUUACGAUCGAUGAAUUCGAGGAAGCAUGGAAGAUACUGGUUGAGUAA
rnacentral:rRNA from 1 species